AUGAAGAUUAGGAAAGAAGGAUAUGUUCCUGAUAUGGAUUAUGUCCUUGUGCGUGUAGAUGAUCAAGAGAGGGAGACAAACUUACAGUACCACAGCAAGAAGAUCGCGCUCGCAUUUGCACUGAUCCAGAUGCCUACAGGGGCAACAAUUCGGAUCAUGAAGAAUAUUAGGAUAUGUGGGGAUUGCCACUCUGCAUUCAAAUACGUCUCCAAAGUUUUUAAAAGGGAGAUUGUUGUGAGGGACACUAAUAGAUUUCACCAUUUCAGUAAUGGGUCUUGUUCCUGUGGAGAUUACUGGUGA
rnacentral:rRNA from 1 species